rnacentral:rRNA from 1 species
UACGAAGGGGCUAGCGUUGCUCGGAAUCACUGGGCGUAAAGGGUGCGUAGGCGGGUCUUUAAGUCAGGGGUGAAAUCCUGGAGCUCAACUCCAGAACUGCCUUGAUACUGAAGAUCUUGAGUCCGGGAGAGGUGAGUGGAACUGCGAGUGUAGAGGUGAAAUUCGUAGAUAUUCGCAAGAACACCAGUGGCGAAGGCGGCUCACUGGCCCGGUACUGACGCUGAGGCACGAAGCGUGGGGG